UACAUGCAAGUCGAACGAACCGCGACUAAGUGCUUGCACUAAGUCAAGGUGAGUGGCGAACGGGUGAGUAACACGUGGGUAACCUACCUCAUAGUGGGGGAUAACAGUCGGAAACGACUGCUAAUACCGCAUAGGACAUAGGAUCACAUGAUUCAGUGAGGAAAGGUGGCGCAAGCUAUCGCUAAGAGAUGGACCCGCGGUGCAUUAGCUAGUUGGUAGGGUAACGGCCUACCAAGGCGAUGAUGCAUAGCCGACCUGAGAGGGUGAUCGGCCACAUUGGGACUGAGACACGGCCCAAACUCCUACGGGAGGCAGCAGUAGGGAAUCUUCCGCAAUGGACGCAAGUCUGACGGAGCAACGCCGCGUGAGUGAAGAAGGUCUUCGGAUCGUAAAGCUCUGUUGUUAGAGAAGAACAGCGCAUAGAGUAACUGUUAUGCGUGUGACG
rnacentral:rRNA from 1 species